rnacentral:lncRNA from 1 species
UUGAUUAUAUGAGUACUAGAGUGGGUAGAAUUUGAUUCAUAUUCCAGUGUUUUAUAAAUUCGACUUUUCUCCAACAUAUCAUUAGUUAGAGAGAUGGCCACAAAAGAGAUAUUGGCGGACGAUAUUGGGGACGUAUCACCACUCCCGAAAUACUAAAAGAGAAAAGCAUAAAAUUGGUUAGAGACUCGUGCUGAUAACGUGUUAUGAAAUAAUAUAAGAACAAGAAC